UACAAAAGCUCUGUGCAUCCUGCCAUAGAGGACUCCCGGGACGGAGCAGUAGUCUGAAAGGUGGAAACUUUCUUUGGGAAGCUGAAAGCAUUUUACUGUAUUGAUUUGUUCUCACCGGAGCUGAGCUGUGAGUGACUUUAACUACAAGGAAAUGUCAUUCAGAUUUGGCCAACAUCUCAUCAAGCCUUCUGUGGUGUUUCUCAAAACAGAACUGUCCUUUGCUCUCGUGAACAGGAAACCUGUGGUAC